GGUAAUGUGGGAAAUAUUGGAAGAGGUACAGAAAAACAUUCAGAAAUAGGAUAACUUUCCGAUCUAAGCUUGACCAACCCUAGGAUGGUACCUUUUCUCUUUUUGGAAGUUAGUAAUAACAAACCUAAUAUAGGUGUAAGCAAUCACCGUCAAUUUCGAUCUAAUUGUCUGAAUCGCAAAAACGCUUUAAACUAUGAAGAAAGGUUAAUGAAAGUGCUUUCCUAGGUAAAUGUGGUCUUGAAAUAGCUUUACUCUGUAAUAAUAUAUAAAAUGCCAUUCAAACCAUAAAGGGUAAGUAUUGAAUUGUUGCAUAUGCAUCACGUGUAGAGGUAAACCUUGCUGACGGUACA
rnacentral:lncRNA from 1 species